rnacentral:lncRNA from 1 species
AGCUUCUUCCCUACCAACCGCAAGGAACAAUACUACGUUGAGGAUCGGUCCGGCUGCGAAAAGUGUCCUACUGAAGAUCGAAAAGAACGCUACCAGGGCGAGGAUCGACGAAUGUUUGACAAAUUCUUUGACGAUCGGAAGGAACGCUACUACGUCGAAAACCGCCAUUCUUACAGGCAAUUUCCGGAGAAAGAUGUGGUGUCAGCCGAUUCCUUCCGAUCUUCCGUUGCUCCAAAUUCCUCUGCCAUAAACGCUCAGAUUGACUGGAAGGAAACCGGUGAUGCAUACGUUUUCAAGUUAGAUCUUCCCGGAGUGAAAAAACAUGAAGUGAAACUGGAGAUUGAAGAGAAUGGAGCUCUGUGUAUCAGCACUGAAAUUAGGGCUGAGAGAGAGGAGAGAACCGAUAUUUGGCAUCGCAUGGAACGAAGUAGUGGAAGGAUCUACCGACGUAUUGUGUUGCCGGACGGUGCCGAUGUGGAUAAAGUGAGGGCAGAAAUGU